rnacentral:lncRNA from 1 species
UAAGUAUCAAUUUAUGGAUUGAUCUUCUCCUUAUAACAAACAAAUCUAUUAAUGAUAUACAAGUGUUCACUAUGAAUGAAAUGAAACUUAGAAUCUUUUUCUAUGAAGGUUAAGUGCAGAAAGUUUCACUCUUAAAAUUCUGGUUUUGAACACUUAGAGAAUAUUUAAAUGUUUAAAAAUUUGCAAAAGGAUGUGAGAUUAAAAUUUGAAGAAAU